rnacentral:misc_RNA from 1 species
GUAGGUGAACCUGCUGAAGGAUCAUUAACACGUAUUCACGUUUAUAACCCGAGAAUUUCCUUAGGAUGGCUUAUUCGAGUAAAAGCCCUGAUGCCCUUUUGUCAAUGUAUGGCGAGGAGUCUUAAUUGGAACCUACUUGGAAUUGAUUGCUAGCCGCUCUUUAUGAGUUUUUCAUAAGGGUAUGUGGAUCUUUCUAAUCUGAGUGGGAUCUGAUUGAGGCAUCUUGCUAUGUGUCGAUGAGAGAGUGUUG